rnacentral:rRNA from 1 species
CCAUCAUGGCAGUGGAAACUGAAAGGCUUGAGUAUGGUAGGGGCAGAGGGAAUUCCCGGUGUAGCGGUGAAAUGCGUAGAUAUCGGGAAGAACACCAGUGGCGAAGGCGCUCUGCUGGGCCAUUACUGACGCUCAUGGACGAAAGCCAGGGGAGCGAAAGGGAUUAGAUACCCCUGUAGUCCUGGCCGUAAACGAUGAACACUAGGUGUCGGGGGAAUCGACCCCUUCGGUGUCGUAGCUAACGCGUUAAGUGUUCCGCCUGGGGAGUACGCACGCAAGUGUGAAACUCAAAGGAAUUGACGGGGGCCCGCACAAGCGGUGGAGUAUGUGGUUUAAUUCGAUGCAACGCGAAGAACCUUACCAGGGUUUGACAUCCUGCGAACCUCUUAGAAAUUUGAGGGUGCCUUCGGGAAUGCAGUGACAGGUGGUGCAUGGCUGUCGUCAGCUCGUGUCGUGAGAUGUUGGGUUAAGUCCCGCAACGAGCGCAACCCACGUUUUUAGUUGCCAGCAUUUAGUUGGGCACUCUAGAAAGACCGCCGGUGAUAAACCGGAGGAAGGUGUGGAUGACGUCAAGUCAUCAUGCCCCUUACACCCUGGGCUACACACGUACUACAAUGCUACGGACAAAGGGCAGCAAACUCGCGAGAGCUAGCAAAUCCCAUAAACCGUGGCUCAGUUCAGAUCGUAGGCUGCAACUCGCCUACGUGAAGUAGGAAUCGCUAGUAAUCGCAGGUCAGCAUACUGCGGUGAAUACGUUCCCGGGCCUUGUACACACCGCCCGUCACACCAUGGAAGUUGGCCAUGCCCGAAGUCGUUACUCCAACCCUUGUGGAGGAGGACGCC